UGUUAAAAUUUUUAUCUAUUUUGACUGUUAAAAACUAAUGCGGCUGAUAGAGUAACUAGUUAGUUUCAUGUGACCUGCCACGUGUACCUUAUUCCAACAUAGAGGAACCAAUUUUUAAUGAUAGAGUUGGAUGGAAUUUUUAACA
rnacentral:pre_miRNA from 1 species